GUGCCAGCCGCCGCGGUAAUACGAGUGGUGCAAGCGUUAUUCGGAAUUAUUGGGCGUAAAGGGUGCGCAGGCGGUAUGUUAAGUCAACUGUUAAAUCCCCCAGCCUAACUGGGGAUCGGCGGUAGAUACUGGUGUACUAGAGGGUGGAAGAGAGAAGUGGAAUUCUUGGAGUAGCGGUAAAAUGCGUAGAUCUCAAGAGGAACACCGAUGGCGAAGGCAGCUUCUUGGUCCACACCUGACGCUCAUGCACGAAAGCGUAGGGAGCAAACAGGAUUAGAUACCCUGGUAGUCCACGCUGUAAACGAUGAUCACUAGACGUUAGUCUUGCUUUGCAAGAUUAGUGUCGCAGCUAACGCGAUAAGUGAUCCGCCUGGGGACUACGGUCGCAAGAUUAAAACUCAAAGGAAUUGACGGGGGUCCGCACAAGCGGUGGAACAUGUGGUUUAAUUCGACACUACGCGAGAAACCUUACCUAGGCUUGACAUGCCUAUGACCGCUACAGAGAUGUAGCUUUCCAAGGGAAACCUUGGACAUUUGCACAGGUGCUGCAUGGCUGUCGUCAGCUCGUGUCGUGAGAUGUUGGGUUAAGUCCUAUAACGAGCGCAACCCCUGCUAUCAGUUGCUACUUCGUAAGAAGGCACUCUGAUGGGACUGCCUGGGAAACCAGGAGGAAGGUGGGGAUGAUGUCAAGUCCGCAUGGUCCUUAUGCCUAGGGCAACACACGUGUUACAAUGGCCAAUACAAAGGGCUGCAAACUCGUAAGAGGAAGCUAAUCCCAGAAAGUUGGUCUGAGUUCAGAUUGAGGUCUGCAACUCGACCUCAUGAAGUUGAAAUCGCUAGUAAUCGCAUAUCAGAACGAUGCGGUGAAUACGUUCUCGGACCUUGUACACACCGCCCGUC
rnacentral:rRNA from 1 species